GGACGGGUGAGUAAUGUCUGGGAAACUGCCUGAUGGAGGGGGAUAACUACUGGAAACGGUAGCUAAUACCGCAUAACGUCGCAAGACCAAAGUAAGGGGGGACCUUCGGGCCUCUUGCCAUCGGAUGUGCCCAGAUGGGAUUAGCUAGUAGGUGGGGUAAAGGCUCACCUAGGCGACGAUCCCUAGCUGGUCUGAGAGGAUGACCAGCCACACUGGAACUGAGACACGGUCCAG
rnacentral:rRNA from 1 species